GCGGCAGCGACUUAACUGAACCUUCGGGGAACGUUAAGGGCGGCGAGCGGCGGACGGGUGAGUAAUGCCUGGGAAUAUGCCCUGAUGUGGGGGAUAACUAUUGGAAACGAUAGCUAAUACCGCAUAAUCUCUUCGGAGCAAAGAGGGGGACCUUCGGGCCUCUCGCGUCAGGAUUAGCCCAGGUGGGAUUAGCUUGUUGGUGAGGUAAUGGCUCACCAAGGCAACGAUCCCUAGCUGGUCUGAGAGGAUGAUCAGCCACACUGGAACUGAGACACGGUCCAGACUCCUACGGGAGGCAGCAGUGGGGAAUAUUGCACAAUGGGGGAAACCCUGAUGCAGCCAUGCCGCGUGUGUGAAGAAGGCCUUCGGGUUGUAAAGCACUUUCAGUAGGGAGGAAGGUAGUGUAGUUAACACCUGCAUUAUUUGACGUUACCUACAGAAGAAGCACCGGCUAACUCCGUG
rnacentral:rRNA from 1 species